AUUGAACGCUGGCGGCAGGCCUAACACAUGCAAGUCGAACGAGUGGCGGACGGGUGAGAAAUGUCUGGGAAACUGCCUGAUGGAGGGGGAUAUCUUGGGGAAACGGUAUCUAAUACCGCAUACCAUCGGAUGUGCCAAGAUGGGAUUAGCUAGUAGGUGGGGUAAAGGCUCACCUAGGCGACGAUCCCUCGCUGGUCUGAGAGGAUGACCAGCCACACUGGAACUGAGACACGGUCCAGACUCCUACGGGAGGCAGCAGUGGGGAAUAUUGCACAAUGGGCGCAAGCCUGAUGCAGCCAUGCCGCGUGUAUGAAGAAGGCCUUCGGGUUGUAAAGUACUUUCAGCGGGGAGGCGUUACCCGCAGAAGAAGCACCGGCUAACUCCGUGCCAGCAGCCGCGGUAAUUC
rnacentral:rRNA from 1 species